AUUGAACGCUGGCGGCAGGCUUAACACAUGCAAGUCGAGCGGAGUGAUGGUGCUUGCACUAUCACUUAGCGGCGGACGGGUGAGUAAUGCUUAGGAAUCUGCCUAUUAGUGGGGGACAACAUCUCGAAAGGGAUGCUAAUACCGCAUACGUCCUACGGGAGAAAGCAGGGGAUCACUCGUGACCUUGCGCUAAUAGAUGAGCCUAAGUCGGAUUAGCUAGUUGGUGGGGUAAAGGCCUACCAAGGCGACGAUCUGUAGCGGGUCUGAGAGGAUGAUCCGCCACACUGGGACUGAGACACGGCCCAGACUCCUACGGGAGGCAGCAGUGGGGAAUAUUGGACAAUGGGGGGAACCCUGAUCCAGCCAUGCCGCGUGUGAAGAAGGCCUUAUGGUUGUAAAGCACUUUAAGCGAGGAGGAGGCUCUUUUGGUUAAUACCCAAGAUGAGUGGACGUUACUCGCAGAAUAAGCACCGGCUAACUCUGUGCCAGCCGCCGCGGUAAAAC
rnacentral:rRNA from 1 species